rnacentral:snRNA from 1 species
AUCACUUUUCAGCCUUUUGGCUAAGAUCAAGUGUAGUAUCUGUUCUUAUCAGUUUAAUAUUUGAUACGUCCUCUAUCUGAGGACAAUAUAUUAAAUGGAUUUUUGGAGCAGGGAGAUGAAAUAGGAGCUUGCUCUGUCCACUCCACGCAUCAACCUGGUAUUGUAGUACUUCCAGGAAUGGUGCACCCCCC